rnacentral:rRNA from 1 species
GACAGCGGCUUUGUCACGUUGAAUACACCAGUUCUCGUUGGAUCACUGAAGUUAAGCAACGUCGAGCGGGUAAUUAGGUGAAAGGGAUAUCGAGGUAGUCACUAAAAAUAGUUACUAUUGGUU